UUAGAGUAGCAAUUUCUGCUGCCCAUCAAUCUUUGAAUCAGUUUCAAUCAAUUUCACUCCAAAGUGAGAGCAUGCAAUACUCCAAGAAAUGAUAAAACCUCAAUUGCAAUGAUGUUGGGUUGUUAUGUAAAAUGUAAACAAAAACAUUAUAAAAUGAUUUACAAGUCAUGUUCAACUGUUAUGCAAUUGAAUAAAGAAAGAUAGGGUGAAUAUAAAUCUUAUUGUUUUUUUUUUUUUUGCAAAUAUUCUGUCAUUUUGAAUUUGAUGCUUGCAGCAUAUUCUAAAAAAGCUGGGAAAGGGGCAACAAAAGACUGGAAAAGUUGAGGAAUGCUCAAUAAACAUCUGUUUGGAGCAUUCCACAGGUGAACAGGUUAAUGAGGUUAAUGUGAACAGGUGAGGGUCAUAAUUGGGUAAAAACGGAGCAUCCCUAAAAACCUCAGUUGUUCACAAGCAAGAAUGGGGCGAGGUUCACCACAUUGUGAACAACAGUUUAAGAACGUUUCUCAAUGUACGGGAAUUUAGGGAUUUAACCAUCUACAGUUCAGACUAUCAUCAAAAGAUCCAGAGAAUCUGGAGAAAUCUCUGCACGUAAGCAGCAAGGCCGAAAACCAACAAUGAAUGCCCUUGACCUUUGACCCCUCAGGAGGCACCGCAUUGAAAACCAACAUCAUUCUGUAUCGGUUAUCACCACGUGGGCUGAGGAACACUUCAGAAAACCAGUGAACACAGUUUGUCACUACAUCUAGAAGUUAAAACUCUGCCAUGCGAAGCCAAAACCACAUAACACCCAGAAACGGCGCCGCCCUCUCUGGACCAGAGCUCAUCUGGACAUGGACUGACUCAAAGUGGAAAAGUGUGCUGUGGCCCGACGAGUCCACAUUUUAAAUUGUUUUUGGAAGUCAUGGACUUAGUGGAUUGUUAUCAGCGCAAAGUUCAAAACCCAGCAUCUGUGAUGGUAUGGGGGGGUGUGUUAGUGCCCACGGGAUGGGUACCUGGUACAUCUGAGAAGGCACCAUUCAUGCUGAAAGAUUUUGGAUUGUGACUGGUUAUUUGUGUCAUAUCCAUGGUGGCUUGUGUGCUGUGUUCUCUCUGUGCAGGGUGUGACUGGCAGGUGCUGCUGCACAGGUGUUGCUCAUCUGAGAACAUUUAGCUGGGCUACUUAUGGAGUGGAAACCCAGAAGGAGGAGUCAGCUCGUUUUCUCACGUGGCGUGGUAACAGCUAGACUGCUGCUUUGCUGCAGUCCUACUUCCAAGCAGAUUUUCUGAUGAUCUUGUUUUUCUCCCCCUGCCUUGCAGAUCACCCUUCGUCGAAGGAAAUCAUGGAACCUUUCUGGUCUCGUGUCACUUUCAGAGGAGUUUGGGAACUCCAGCCUUGACACCUCAGCCGUGAGCCUCCUCUCUGCUUCCAACUCCAAGCCCAGCUUCUCAGGAGCCACCUGAGAACCACCCGUCAACCUGCCUGUCCGCCCUCCAACGUUAAAACUCUCCAACCAUAGCGGAGUUUCCUGGAAGAGAAGAAGCAAAGCACUUCAUCCUCCGAAAACUGUUCACAGCCUGUCAGCCUCAAGCCACCGUGGAGAAGGACUUAUUUUCCCCCGGUCUUGCCAAGAACCCAACCCCUAGAGACCCCGCGUUUCUCCACCAGCUCCAGUCCUUGUUCCAGUCCAACCUUUAUCUGUGUUUCUAAAUAAACUGUUAAAACGC